rnacentral:rRNA from 1 species
AAGACCUUGCACUUUUGGAGCGGCCGAUGUCUGAUUAGCUAGUUGGUGGGGUAAUGGCCUACCAAAGCUUCGAUCAGUAGCUGGUCUGAGAGGACGGCCAGCCACACUGGGACUGAGACACGGCCCAGACUCCUACGGGAGGCAGCAGUGGGGAAUUUUGGACAAUGGGGGCAACCCUGAUCCAGCCAUGCCGCGUGAGUGAAGAAGGCCUUCGGGUUGUAAAGCUCUUUCAGCCGGAACGAAACGGUUACGGUUAAUACCCGUGAUUACUGACGGUACCGGAAGAAGAAGCACCGGCUAACUACGUGCCAGCAGCCGCGGUAAUACGUAGGGUGCGAGCGUUAAUCGGAAUUACUGGGCGUAAAGCGUGCGCAGGUGGUUUUGUAAGUCAGAUGUGAAAGCCCCGGGCUCAACCUGGGAACU